rnacentral:rRNA from 1 species
UGGGGAAUUUUCCGUUAAUGGGCGAAAGCCUGACGGAGCAAUGCCGCGUGGAGGUGGAAGGCCUACGGGUCGUCAACUUCUUUUCUCGGAGAAGAAACAAUGACGGUAUCUGAGGAAUAAGCAUCGGCUAACUCUGCGCCAG